rnacentral:rRNA from 1 species
CAGUCGCCGCGGGAAUACAGAGGAUGCAAGCGUUAUCCGGAAUGAUUGGGCGUAAAGCGUCUGUAGGUGGCUUUUCAAGUCCGCCGUCAAAUCCCAGGGCUCAACCCUGGACAGGCGGUGGAAACUACCAAGCUGGAGUACGGUAGGGGCAGAGGGAAUUUCCAGUGGAGCGGUGAAAUGCGUUGAGAUCGGAAAGAACACCAACAGCGAAAGCACUCUGCUGGGCCGACACUGACACUGAGAGACGAAAGCUAGGGGAGCAAAUGGGAUUAGAGACCCCCGUAGUCCCUGUCUCUUAUAC